CGCGGCCUAUCAGCUUGUUGGUAAGGUAACGGCUUACCAAGGCUUAGACAGGUAGCUGGUCUGAGAGGAUGAUCAGCCACACUGGAACUGAGACACGGUCCAGACUUCUACGGAAGGCAGCAGUAGGGAAUCUUGCGCAAUGGGCGAAAGCCUGACGCAGCGACGCCGCGUGCGGGAUGACGGCCCUAGUGGUUGUAAACCGCUUUCAGCAGGGACGAAAAUGACGGUACCUGCAGAAGAAGUCCCGGCUAACUACGUGCCAGCAGCCGCGGUAAUACGUAGGGGACAAGCGUUGUCCGGAUUCAUUGGGCGUAAAGAGCUCGUAGGCGGUUCAGUAAGUUGGGUGUGAAAGCUCCGGGCUCAACCCGGAGAGGCCACUCAAUACCGCUGUGACUAGAGUCCAGUAGAGGAGCGUGGAACUCCUGGUGUAGCGGUGAAAUGCGCAGAUAUCAGGAAGAACACCGGCAGCGAAGGCGGCGCUCUGGGCUGGUACUGACGCUGAGGAGCGAAAGCAUGGGUAGCAAACAGGAUUAGAUACCCUGGUAGUCCAUGCCGUAAACGUUGGGCACUAGGUGUGGGGAGGAAUCAACCCUCUCCGUGCCGUAGCUAACGCAUUAAGUGCCCCGCCUGGGGAGUACGG
rnacentral:rRNA from 1 species